rnacentral:rRNA from 1 species
ACGAACGCUGGCGGCAGGCUUAACACAUGCAAGUCGAACGCCCCUUCGGGGGAGUGGCAGACGGGUGAGUAACGCGUGGGAAACGUGCCCUUCAGUUCGGAAUAACCCAGGGAAACUUGGGCUAAUACCGGAUACGUGGCGAGAGCAGAAAGAUUUAUCGCUGAAGGAUCGGCCCGCGUCUGAUUAGCUAGUUGGUGAGGUUAACGGCUCACCAAGGCGACGAUCAGUAGCUGGUCUGAGAGGAUGAUCAGCCACACUGGGACUGAGACACGGCCCAGACUCCUAACGGGAGGCAGCAGUGGGGAAUAUUGGACAAUGGGCGCAAGCCUGAUCCAGCCAUGCCGCGUGAGUGAUGACGGCCUUAGGGUUGUAAAGCUCUUUCCGGCGGGGACGAUAAUGACGGUACCCGCAGAAGAAGCCCCGGCUAAACUUCGUGGCCAGCAGCCGCGGUAAUACGAAGGGGGCUAGCGUUGUUCGGAACCACUGGGCGUAAAGGGCGCGUAGGCGGCUUUUGUAAGUCGGGGGUGAAAGCCUGUGGCUUCAACCAACAGAAUUGCCUUCGAUACUGCGAGGCUUGAGACCGGAAGAGGGUUAGUGGAACCUGCGAGUGUAGAGGUGAAAUUCGUAGAUAUUUCGCAAGAACACCAGUGGCGAAGGCGGCUGACUGGUCCGGAUUCUGACGCUGAGGCGCGAAAGCGUGGGGAGCAAAACAGGAUUAGAUACCCUGGUAGUCCACGCCGUAAACGAUGAAUGCCAGCCGUUUGGGCAGCUUGCUGCUCAAGUGGCGCAGCUAACGCUUUAAGCAUUCCGCCUGGGGGAGUACGGUCGCAAGAUUAAAACUCAAAGGAAUUGAACGGGGGCCCGCACAAGCGGUGGAGCAUGUGGUUUAAUUCGAAGCAACGCGCAGAACCUUACCAGCCUUUGACAUGUCCCCGUAUGGUUGCCGGAGACGGCUUCCUUCAGUUCGGCUGGCGGGAACACAGGUGCUGCAUGGCUGUCGUCAGCUCGUGUCGUGAGAUGUUGGGUUAAGUCCCGCAACGAGCGCAAACCCUCGCCCCUAGGUUGCCAUCAUUGAGUUGGGCACUCUAGGGGGAACUGCCGGUGAUAAGCCGCGAGGAAGGUGGGGAUGGACGUCAAGUCCUCAUGGCCCUUACGGGCUGGGCUACACACGUGCUACAAUGGCGGUGACAAUGGGCAGCAAAAACCCGCGAGGGCCAGCUAAUCCCAAAAAAGCCGUCCUCAGUUUCAGAUUGCACUCUGCAACUCGAGUGCAUGAAGGCGGAAAUCGCUAGUAAUCGUGGAUCAGAACGCCACGGUGAAUACGUUUCCCGGGCCUUGUACACACCGCCCGUCACCACCAUGGGAGUUUGGUCUUACCCGACGGCAGCCUGCGCCAAACCGCAAGGAGGCAGGCGACCCACGGUAGGGUCCAGCGACUGGGGUG